GAUGAACGCUGGCGGCGUGCCUAAUACAUGCAAGUCGAGCGAAUGGAUUAAGAGCUUGCUCUUAUGAAGUUAGCGGCGGACGGGUGAGUAACACGUGGGUAACCUGCCCAUAAGACUGGGAUAACUCCGGGAAACCGGGGCUAAUACCGGAUAACAUUUUGAACCGCAUGGUUCGAAAUUGAAAGGCGGCUUCGGCUGUCACUUAUGGAUGGACCCGCGUCGCAUUAGCUAGUUGGUGAGGUAACGGCUCACCAAGGCAACGAUGCGUAGCCGACCUGAGAGGGUGAUCGGCAAGACUGGGCAGGAGAACCGGCCCAGACUCCUACGGGAGGCAGCAGUAGGGAAUCUUCCGCAAUGGACGAAAGUCUGACGGAGCAAGGCCGCGUGAGUGAUGAAGGCUUUCGGGUCGUAAAACUCUGUUGUUAGGGAAGAACAAGUGCUAGUGGAAUAAGCUGGCACCUUGACGGUACCUAACCAGAAAGCCACGGCUAACUACGUGCCAGCAGCCGCCGUAA
rnacentral:rRNA from 1 species